AUCUUCCGUAGGUGAACCUGCGGAAGGAUCAUUACCGAGUUGAUUCGGGCUCCGGCCCGAUCCUCCCACCCUUUGUGUACCUACCUCUGUUGCUUUGGCGGGCCGCGGUCCUCCGCGGCCGCCCCCCUCCCCGGGGGGGUGGCCAGCGCCCGCCAGAGGACCAUCAAACUCCAGUCAGUAAACGAUGCAGUCUGAAAAACAUUUAAUAAACUA
rnacentral:rRNA from 1 species